rnacentral:rRNA from 1 species
CAGCCGCCGCGGUAAUACGAAGGGGGCUAGCGUUGUUCGGAUUAACUGGGCGUAAAGGGCGCGUAGGCGGGUUUUUAAGUCAGAGGUGAAAUCCCAAGGCUCAACCUUGGAACUGCCUUUGAUACUGGAAGUCUUGAGUCCGGGAGAGGUGAGUGGAACUGCGAGUGUAGAGGUGAAAUUCGUAGAUAUUCGCAAGAACACCAGUGGCGAAGGCGGCUCACUGGCCCGGUACUGACGCUGAGGCGCGAAAGCGUGGGGAGCAAACAGGAUUAGAUACCCCCGUAGUCCCUGUCUCUUAUAC